AAAGUCGUAACAAGGUUUCCGUAGGUGAACCUGCGGAAGGAUCAUUAACACGUAUCCAUACGUAUUAUAUACCAAACCGUGAACUUGUUUGAUAAUAAAACUGAAGAUUGAAGGAGUGAGAAGGAUUUCUUUAUUGGGAUUCUAAUUGCAACUUCUGUCUUGUAUCUUAUUUCAACUUAUAAACCACUUGUAACCAUUUGUACUAAACAAAACUAAGAAAGUGUAGUCUGUGUGUGUUCUUAAACAAACAUGCGCUUCUUCGCUUUUUGUAUUUACGAAACGUAAAAACAAUUCUUAGCAACGGAUAUCUUGGUUCUC
rnacentral:misc_RNA from 1 species